rnacentral:RNase_P_RNA from 1 species
AGAGUUAGCCAGACAAUCGCUGCUUAUUCCAGGUUCGCCUGCGUAAGGGGAGGAAAGUCCGGGCUCCACAGGGCAGGGUGCCAGAUAACGUCUGGGCGGCGCGAGCCGACGACCAGUGCAACAGAGAGUAAACCGCCGAUGGCCUGCGCAAGCAGGAUCAGGUAAGGGUGAAAGGGUGCGGUAAGAGCGCACCGCGCGGCUGGCAACAGUUCGUGGCACGGUAAACUCCACCCGGAGCAAGGUCAAAUAGGGGUUCAUUGGCGCGGCCCGCGUUGAACCCGGGUAGACUGCUUGAACGCUAGAGUGAUUUAGCGGCUAGACGAAUGAUUGUCCACGACAGAACCCGGCUUAUCGGCUAACUCGCUGA